GAUGAACGCUGGCGGCGUGCCUAACACAUGCAAGUCGAACGGACUUACAUUGAAGCCUAGCGAUAUGUAAGUUAGUGGCGGACGGGUGAGUAACGCGUGGGUAACCUGCCUUGUACUGGGGGACAACAGUUGGAAACGACUGCUAAUACCGCAUAAGCCCACGGCUCGGCAUCGAGCAGAGGGAAAAGGAGUGAUCCGCUUUGAGAUGGCCUCGCGUCCGAUUAGCUAGUUGGUGAGGUAACGGCCCACCAAGGCGACGAUCGGUAGCCGGACUGAGAGGUUGAACGGCCACAUUGGGACUGAGACACGGCCCAGACUCCUACGGGAGGCAGCAGUGGGGAAUAUUGCACAAUGGGGGGAACCCUGAUGCAGCGACGCCGCGUGGAGGAAGAAGGUCUUCGGAUUGUAAACUCCUGUUGUUGAGGAAGAUAAUGACGGUACUCAACAAGGAAGUGACGGCUAACUACGUG
rnacentral:rRNA from 1 species